ACGGAGGGAGCUAGCGUUGUUCGGAAUUACUGGGCGUAAAGCGCACGUAGGCGGCUUUGUAAGUCAGAGGUGAAAGCCUGGAGCUCAACUCCAGAACUGCCUUUGAUACUGUAUCUCUUGAAUCCAGGAGAGGUGAGUGGAAUUCCGAGUGUAGAGGUGAAAUUCGUAGAUAUUCGGAGGACCACCAGUGGCGAAGGCGGCUCACUGGAUUGGAACUGACGCUGAGGUACGAAAGCGAGGGGAGCAAACAG
rnacentral:rRNA from 1 species